GGAUAGAGAGUUUGGAUACCCAUCACCUCACUGAUUCCCCAGAUUGAUUUUACACAUCUUCCUGGCUAGUUGGGUACCACCUUCCUCCCUCAAUAUCCCAUGAAUAUCCCCACCAAUGCUGCCUCCAAAACUCAUCAUGGUUAUGUAAGUGGCUGUACUCUACUUCUAGAACUCCAGGAGAGAAGAGUGCAUAAGACUUUGGGACCAUGCCUUUGAAGUAUGUGUUUACCAAUUUAAAG
ensembl:misc_RNA 7SK 7SK RNA